rnacentral:rRNA from 1 species
UAGGGAAUCUUUCGCAAUGGGCGAAAGCCUGACGGAGCAACGCCGCGUGAGUGAUGAAGGUCUUCGGAUCGUAAAACUCUGUUAUUAGGGAAGAACAAAUGUGUAAGUCACUAUGCACGUCUUGACGGUACCUAAUCAGAAAGCCACGGCUAACUACGUGCCAGCAGCCGCGGUAAUACGUAGGUGGCAAGCGAUAUCCGGAAUUAUUGGGCGUAAAGCGCGCGUAGGCGGUUUUUUAAGUCUGAUGUGAAAGCCCACGGCUCAACCGUGGAGGGUCAUUGGAAACUUGAAAACUUGAGUGCAGAAGAGGAAAGUGGAUUUCAAUGUGUAGCGGUGAAAUGCGCAGAGAUAUGGGGGAACACCAGUGGCGAAGGCGACUUUCUGGUCUGUAACUGACGCUGAUGUGCGAAAGCGUGGGGAUCAAACAGG